CUUGAGGUAAAAAGUGGCUAGCCGGCUUGGGGAAAAAGAGAUCAACCAUUAGGAUAAAUUAUUUUUUCUUCUUUUUACCCCAAAUUUUUUUUACCGUGGGUAUAAAGAAUCUUCUUGGGGUUUAAAAAGAACCAAAUUUAGAUUUAGCUCAAGGGUUGAUAAUGUAUUUUCCCACAACAAGGCUGGUCACUAUUUGCCCCAAG
rnacentral:pre_miRNA from 1 species